rnacentral:snRNA from 1 species
CUGGGUGUGCCAGAGCACCGGGU